ACAAUGAUGAUGUCACUGAUUCUACUGCUGGCCACCCUGGGGCUCCUUGUUCAGGAUUCAUCAGGAGAAAUCAUCCUGACUCAGUCUCCUGGAGCUCAGUCUGUUGUUCCAGGACAGACUGUCUCUCUCAGAUGUAAAGCCAGUACAAGUGUUAGUUAUGACUUGCAGUGGUACCUUCAGAAACCUGGAGAAGCUCCUAAACUCCUGAUUUAUGAUGCUCAAACCCGUCAGUCUGGAGUUUCAGAUCGUUUCAGUGGGAGUCAGUCUGGAACUGACUUCACUUUGACCAUCAGAGGAAUCCAGACUGAUGAUGCAGGAGUUUAUUACUGUCAGCAGGAUUACAGCCGUCCGUUCAUACAGUGAUACAACGUCGGACAAAAACCUCCUUCAGCUGGAGAGGAACUGAUCUGAAUCAACAGCUGCAGAGUUAUAGAAACACUUUAGUAAUUUACUGACAAUAAGUCCAAUACAUUAAAACUGAUCUGACAUGAAUUGUCAUGUUUCCUUUAUAGAUUACAUUUAUGAUAAAUCAAAUGGAACUUGAAAUUCACAAGUUUUAUAUUGAAGUCACACAGUUUAGUUUUCAACAAACUUAAACACACAUGUUGUAUUUUGAGAUCAAACUAUUGAUUCUGAUACUAUUGUGAUAUAAUAUGCUGAUAAUAACUUACCUCAUAAUUGAAAUGCCACAAAUUCAUCAUAGACUUUUUAGUUUAACCAGAUUCAUGAAACUUUCAGGACAUUUCUAAACCCAUUUCAGCAUGAGAGUUUUUACCGAUAGUACAAUUCAUUUAUAAACCACAUAUUGUAAACCUGAUUUACCUUGAAAUAGUUUAAAAAUUAUCUUUGUUGUCACCAAAAAUCUAAUUUGCAGUUUGUGUAAUGAAGCAGUUUCUACGGUCUAGCUUUAAGGAAUCUUGAACAAAUAAUGUCUUUGUUGCAUUAAUGUUACAUUAAUGAUUAUCUGAUUAAUUGCUCUCAAAAUAUUACGUAUUUUACG